CAGGCCUAACACAUGCAAGUCGAACGCUAUUUUAUAGAGUGGCGCACGGGUGAGUAACGCGUGGGAAACUGCCCAUCUGUUCGGGACAACGGUUGGAAACGACCGCUAAUACCGGAUACGCCCUACGGGGGAAAGGUCCGCCGCAGAUGGAGGUGCCCGCGUCCGAUUAGCUAGUUGGUGAGGUAAGAGCUCACCAAGGCGACGAUCGGUAGCUGGUCUGAGAGGAUGAUCAGCCACACUGGGACUGAGACACGGCCCAGACUCCUACGGGAGGCAGCAGUGGGGAAUAUUGGACAAUGGGGGCAACCCUGAUCCAGCAAUGCCGCGUGUGUGAUGAAGGCCUUAGGGUUGUAAAGCACUUUCACUGGUGAAGAUGAUGACGGUAACCAGAGAAGAAGCCCCGGCUAACUUCGUGCCAGCAGCCGCGGUAAUACGAAGGGGGCGAGCGUUGUUCGGAAUUACUGGGCGUAAAGGGAGCGCAGGCGGUUCAUUCAGUUAGGCGUGAAAGCCCCGGGCUCAACCUGGGAACUGCGCUUAAUACUGAUGGACUAGAAAUCAGAAGAGGAUAGUGGAAUUCCCAGUGUAGAGGUGAAAUUCGUAGAUAUUGGGAAGAACACCGGUGGCGAAGGCGGCUAUCUGGUCUGAAUUU
rnacentral:rRNA from 1 species